UACGGGGGGGGCAAGCGUUGUUCGGAAUUACUGGGCGUAACGGGCGCGUAGGCGGCCUUCUAAGUCGGACGUGAAAUCCCUCGGCUUAACCGAGGAACUGCGUCCGAUACUGAAAGGCUUGAAUCCGGGAGAGGGAUGCAGAAUUCCAGGUGUAGCGGUGAAAUGCGUAGAUAUCUGGAGGAAUACCGGUGGCGAAGGCGGCAUCCUGGACCGACAUUGACGCUGAACGGCGAAAGCUAGGGGAGCAAACGGG
rnacentral:rRNA from 1 species